rnacentral:lncRNA from 1 species
AAAGAAAACUGUGGCUCAAAGGUCCCCCAGAAAGAAGAUUGAUGUUCCAACCUCUUCCAAGACAAAGAUGGCAGUCGAGAGUUCCCCCAAGAGGAAAGGUCAUGGUCCAGACAAAUCUUGGUGCAAAGUGGUGCCCAAGAAAAAGAAGACCAAGUUUGUUAUUGUUGAGUCUGACUCAGAUGUUCCUUGUAAUGUCUCUAACACUCUGUCAAAGAAGAA